GGGCUCGUAGCUCAGAGGUAGAGCGCUACCUUCGCAAGGUAGAGGCCACGGGUUCGAAUCCCGUCGAGUCCA
rnacentral:tRNA from 1 species